AUUUUCAUUCAUUUUCUUUUUUUUCUUCUUCUUUUCUGCUUUCUUUAUCCACCCGAGGACGGCUGGAAGUGAAAGGAGGGAGAAGGCAGAGCUUUAGGGGCGGCAGAUGUGACAGUUUUGCAAGCAGGCUGGCUUGCUGAGGAAGACACGAACAGAGGAAUGAAGAAAGGAGAGGCUAGAUAGGAAAAGAAAAGAAAAGGAAGAGGAUAGAGGGAGAGGGGGUUUUUUCUGGAAAGAGAGAACGGACAGGAGGGAAAGGAACGGAGGAGAAGGGGGAUCAGAGAACAGGGAGAGGAAGGGAGCUGGAGUCUUCCCUGUUUUCGAGUAACAAAAAGCGUGAGAAGUUGACCAAGCUGUGAGAAACCUAGAUGUUGACGGAACUUGGUACCUGAGCUUGUGAAAAGGGGAGAAGACUUGGUGGCUUCAUGGGAAUACCAACUCAUGAGAAUGGUGGCUCCAUACAGAGAAGUUUUAAACGAGCAAUGAUGAAUUUAAAGCAGCUGAGUUAGAAGCUUUUAUUAGACCCAUUAAGGAUGCGAAUAUUGAUCUUAAAAAAAGGAAUGGCAGCCUUGUCAAAGGAGUUCUUCUCGGAUAAGGAUUGGAUUUUUAGAAUUAGUGCGGACUUUGAAAAUUUCUAGGGAGGCAGAUAGAGGUGCAGAUGGGGUGUGUGGUCGGUUUUUUUUUUCAAAUUUUCAAUCAAAACCAGAUUCUCGUCGGAAAAGAUGGCAUGUGACGACUCGCCUGACUUCCCGCGUGCAUGGCGUGCCGACUCCAUCAUCUCCGUGGUCGGUCUCCUCACCGCCAUCGGCAGCGGCGACAGUAGCUGUGAGGACGAUCCUCUCGCUGUGGAGGGUUGCGGCGUCCAGUCCCAGUCCGCACCAGCCACCCUCCAAGGCGCAUGCAGUGGCCAUCAUUGCCCCAUUUCCUAACUCCCAGCACUAAGAGUUUUAUCUUUCUUUGUUUAUUUUAUUUUAGUCAUUCACCUUUUCUUUGUUUCACGUUCUCAAAUGGCCCCUAUAAAAUCCCUUAAAAUUUCAAAGUCCUAGAUUUACUAAUCCAUUCAUUUGUUCUAAAAAAAUAUAUAUUUGUAUUUAUGUAGCAUUUCCGAAAUAACCUUCUCAAAUUUAAAUCUAAAUUCAAUUCGUAUAAGUCCAAUUCU